rnacentral:sRNA from 1 species
UUGACAGCCUGGAGGACCACAGUCCUCUAUUUAUCCACACCACAUGGGCAGUAGCAGUGCAGGCUUCCCCAGCACUGCCCAGCAACAUGUCUCAAUCAUGACCCAGAGGGCCUAGUUAAGAGGGUGAGAGGAGAGUUCAUGACCUGCUCCUUUGUUGCUCUGUC